AUUGAACGCUGGCGGCAGGCCUAACACAUGCAAGUCGAGCGGAUGAAGGGAGCUUGCUCCUGGAUUCAGCGGCGGACGGGUGAGUAAUGCCUAGGAAUCUGCCUGGUAGUGGGGGAUAACGUCCGGAAACGGGCGCUAAUACCGCAUACGUCCUGAGGGAGAAAGUGGGGGAUCUUCGGACCUCACGCUAUCAGAUGAGCCUAGGUCGGAUUAGCUAGUUGGUGGGGUAAAGGCCUACCAAGGCGACGAUCCGUAACUGGUCUGAGAGGAUGAUCAGUCACACUGGAACUGAGACACGGUCCAGUCUCCUACGGGAGGCAGCAGUGGGGAAUAUUGGACAAUGGGCGAAAGCCUGAUCCAGCCAUGCCGCGUGUGUGAAGAAGGUCUUCGGAUUGAAAAGCACUUUAAGUUGGGAGGAAGGGCAGUAAGUUAAUACCUUGCUGUUUUGACGUUACCAACAGAAUAAGCACCGGCUAACUUCGUG
rnacentral:rRNA from 1 species